UACGUAGGGGGCAAGCGUUGUCCGGAUUUAUUGGGCGUAAAGAGCGUGUAGGCGGCUUGGCAAGUCUGCUGUGAAAACUCGAGGCUCAACCUCGAGCUGUCGGUGGAAACUGCUUGGCUAGAGUCCGGAAGAGGAGAGUGGAAUUCCUGGUGUAGCGGUGAAAUGCGCAGAUAUCAGGAAGAACACCUAUGGCGAAGGCAGCUCUCUGGGACGGUACUGACGCUGAGACGCGAAAGCGUGGGGAGCGAACAGG
rnacentral:rRNA from 1 species